CGCGCGCGGGCGCCCCACCGCUGCUGCAGCCCGCAGGGACCGGAGACAUGCGGAGUCUGUUGUCUGUCGUCUUCGCAGGGCUACGAGCGAACUUUAGGUUUUAACCAAGAAGCAAGAAAGAAGGACUGAUUUUGCCAGGCACACGGAGCUUCCCAUUGUUUCUACUCUUCAGGAUCCAUCGUAGUGCCUUCUCCAUGAAGUCUUCCCUUCUGCUCCCUAGAACUCUGUGGGUGGCUCAGUCCAGGCUGCCCUAGUACAUUUAUUUUUUUGGCUGCUUCCUCUAAUCCAGCAGUUACUUAAAAAUUCCAUUAAGGCAGAUAUAUAAACUUAAUAUAUACUUUCAGUGCCUUGAACAGUCCUUUACAAUUCAUAGGUGCUUGUUGACUUAAUUUCAUUUUCAAAAGGAACUUUGAUUUCAAAGGAUGUCAGGAUGUCAAAAAAAAAAAAAAAGGUUUUGCAGCAUGGUCCCUAAUUUGAUGUCAUAAUGUUUAAGUAUUGUAUUACAUUAACAUGCUACGAGGAACCAUCUUAAAGGAGGGGCUUUAGCUUUGUGAGAUUCUUUCCUCCGUUUUGGAAUUCCAUGCCUGGCCCUAGCUUUGGAAACUCACCAUAGAAGUACAGGAAGCAAGACACAAUAGAGACGAUGAAGAUGUCAAGAAGGCAGUGAAUGAAUAUGAUGACAUCCUGGAGACGUAUAUUCCUGUAUUGAUGGCCCAGGCAGAAAAUCUACUGGAACCUCGAAAGUUAUUCAAUGGUAGAAGAGAUCUUUCGCAAAUCUGUGGAAUUCUGCAAUGAGCAUGAUGUGUGGAAGCUGACUGUGGCUCAUGUUCUCUUCACAAAAACAAAUACAAAGACGCCAUCGGUUUUUAUGAGCCCGUAGUCAAGAAGCACUAUGACAACAUCCUGAAUGUCAGUGCUACUGUACUGGCUCACCUCUGUGUUUCAUACAUUAUGACAAGUCAAAAUGAAGAAGCUGAGGAGUUGAUGAGGAAGACUGAAAAGGAGGAAGAUCAGCUCUCCUAUGAUGACCCAGAUGAGAAAAACUACCAUCUGUGGAUUUGCUGAUAGGGACACUUUACUGUGCCAAAGGAAAUUAUGACUUUGGGAUUUCUCGAGUUAUCAAAAGCUUGGAACCUUAUAAUAAAAAACUUGGAACUGAUACCUGGUAUUAUGCCAAAAGACGCUUCUUGUCUUUAUUACAGAACAUGUCAUAAUACAUGAUCAUGUUUUGUGAGAGUGUUACUCAAGAAUGUGUUCAGUUUCUAGAACACUGUGAACUUCAUGGCGGGAAUGUACCUGCCAUUAUUGAACAACUCCUAGAAGAGGAAAGAACACAUAUUGGAAAGAAUGCAGUCACAUAUGAAUUCAGACAGUUAAAAGCUUUGAUUUAUGAGAUUAUAGGAUGGAAUAUGUAGUCAUGUCUGAUAAUGGUUUGCAUCAUACUGGCUUUAUAUCUGUAUUUUAUACUGUUUUAUUUGUAUUUAGCCAUUGGCAUCUUUACUUUGUUACAUGUUGAACUUUGUACACUUUACAAUUAUUUAA